CUAAAUACUCAGAACUGUCACUCAUUUUAUAGUUAUUUCUACAAGUCUUCAUGUAUUUGUUUUAAAGGUCAGGUAAGAGCAACAACUUAAAAAAUAAAAUAAAAACAUAUAACAAACAUAAUAAGGAUAAUAAGGAUAAUAAAAAUUAUUACUUACACAUAACUUACACAACUACACUGGAGAAAAAAUAUCUAGAAACAAAAGGUACUCUCAACAACUUUAAUAUAAUUUAUGUACUCUCAACAGUACAAGAAACAAAUUAAAAAGACAAACAAACAAUAAGUCUCAGUGACAUGGCAAACAACACCACAAACUAUAUCAAUUACAUUAUUAACACAAUUUAGUCAUUCAUAAGUAGAGAACAAUGCAUACACAGUUCAUCAUCACAACUCUAACCCUAUAACAAUUAAAAAACUUGAAAAACAACUCAAAACACAAAAUUCACAACUACAAUAACCCUAGCAAAUAUUGAGAUGAAACAAGAACUCUGUCCACAACUCCGCGCUUGUGCGGGGCAAUGCCCCUAGUCUAUAUAAUAAUAGUACAGUUUUUACUCUCCCCUAAAAGUGUACACCUAGACACUUUUUUAAGAUUGUGGGCCCCACAUUAUUUCCGGUUCUUUAACGUACUAUAAGUAAGUGAACCAAACUAUGUCGUUUUAUUACAGCCCUCAUAUUGUUUUCUUACUUUGACUCUUCACCUCGCGUCUCUGGUGUCUGUUUCUCAACUCUUCACCUCCAACUCUUUUCAUAUACAUGUAUUCCUUUGGCUUCCUUCAUAUUCCUCUAAAAUUUGACAUAAAUGUCUAUAAAUUGGAGAUGGUUGAGAGUAUGAUAGAAUCUUCACAGACCUUCUCAAUUACUCUUUUAUCUCAAACCUAGAUACCUGCUUCGAAAAUGUCUUCGUCUGAUGAUGUUGUAGUUCAAGCCCAAUCCGCCUCUCAACCUUUGAUGCUCAUUGUUAAGGCUGGCUGCAGACAGAUCGUCUGACACGGCUGCUUCGAUUUUGGGCGUUGACAUCCUGCUGAUUGAUUGGAAGUCAACGCUAAUACAAGAGAGAUCAUUUUACCUGUUGAACACCUUCAAGGAAAUCUUGCAAGAGAGAUCCUUUUAUGAGCUAAGCAUUUUUUAUGUUACACGAAGCAACACGAACUUCUGGUAUGUUGCGCCCCUGUUGCAAUUAGUUUUGCAGACCAAACCAUGUUCGUUGAGAUUGCUGCGAUGGUGGAACGGAACCCAAGAAAGAGCGGUGGUUCCGCAACUUUGACACAAUCUGAUUUGGCCAACACAAAAACUGACUUGCCAGGGUUUAAGCUAACAUAAUCGAUGGAUGCCUAGCGAAAAAUAGAAUGAAGAGGAGAAGUCUAAGAAUAAAAACAAACGUCCAAUUAGUUCUGUAGAUCUAAGCACAAGUAGGAAUCGUGGAUUCUGAGGUUUCUUUGAGCGCCCAAUGAGGAAGUCUGCUCCAUACUUAUUGGGAGAUGAAUGUAUUGAGAGAUCCAGAGAAAACAUUGAUAGCUUGGAUUCCGAACCCAAUGAGAUCUAUCGGUUUGAACUUCUAAUGAAUGAAAUUAUAGAGCUGGAGAAGCGGGUCCAAAGAAGUACAAAUGAGCCGAUAAAUGAGGAGGGAAGUUCUGGGGAUCCUUCUAUAUCAAGCAGUAACACAAGGUGUGGAGUUGGUUCAGAGCUCAAAGAAAGAAAACGUCACUGGGAAAACACUCGAUCAAAUCAAAGAAACAAACACAAUAUGGAAGUCAUUCCAAGCAUUCAUGAAAACCCAACUUUUUCUGAUCAUCUUUGUUCCUUGACAUUUACUCUACAUCAUGACGUUAGUUACUGUGAUAUUUUUGAUAGGACGUGUGGCAAGGUUUCAGCUUUUUGGAUCUGAUUCAGUUGCUGCUAUGGAGCUACUUCGGAGGUCUGUAAUAGGAGAUGAGUUAACAGAGAAUGAAAAGAAAAGCUCUGCACAGGACUAUGACUGGCUUAGCAUCAGUUGUUCCCAUUGGUGUUCUUAUGAUUCUUCACUUGAGUAAAAUUAUUCCCUCCGCAUUGGUUGAUCAUCCUUGGCAAUGUGUUUGAGUUGUUGAACUAAUCCAUUGGGUACGCUUAUGUAAAAACAGGUUACACCAGUUUGCCAUGCGGCUAUACUUGCUAUAAUUCAAAGAUAUGUGCCAAGCCUGGUAAUGUUCUCAUCUUUUGUAUUACAUGAGAUGAUGGCGAUGGUCAAAAAACAUGUUUGCUAACGUCUACUCGCUGCUCAUCACUCGCGGAUACUACAUCUACGUCAUUAAGACAUGGUGCAAGAAAACGGUUAAUAACUUAUUAACCACUAUACUCAAUACAAAGUUGUAACUGAUGCAGUAUGGACUCUGAUUUUGGUUUUUGAUAGACCAUGGAUUUUAACUACUUUUAGCCAUGGUUUAUAAGUGUUUUAAUAUAUAUUUACUACUAUAUAGAGAAUAUUUAGAGUAUUUACAGGUUCAGGUACGUUCUGGAGAAAUAUGGUGAUUUUGGAGCCUUUUGAGGUGCAGAACUGCACAGACGCAUCAGAUGUUUAGCUAUGGAUGAAGACCUUUUUACCGUUAGAUUGAGCCCAUCGUUUGACACAAGAUAGAUCUUUGAGUUAGCUUUCCAACACCACCGGUUUGAGGUCAAUCAGCAUCCUGUAGCAGACGUUAUGCCUGGUUUACGGAAGAGUGCUCAGUCUGCCUCACGAGAGGAAGCUGUCGAGGAAAUAAAGGACUGUCGAUCGAUAUUGCAUCAUUGGUGUCGGUCGACAGUGAUCCCAGAAAACAGGACAAGCCUAUUUCGUGACCAAUUUAGGCCCGGAAGUCACCACAUAUUACUAAUAUACCCUGGACGACCUAAAACCUAUUUUACUGUUUUCUAAGCCAUUGUUGACGGCUAUGCUUCAUACUAUUCUAGGGAGAGAAAGCUGAAGAUUGGAGAGAGAGAUCUGUACAUCUUGAGAGAGGGAAGAUCUUGAACUCCCUUUGUUUCUUUCCUCUAUCAUGUUUUUAUUAGUUUAUUUAAGUAUUAUUCAGACCAUCAUAACUAUGUGUUUCAUAAAUAUGUCUGAGUAGUCCUUGCUGUUAGGUUUAGGUUUCUCAAUAGGUUGAUAAAUGUAUUACUGACACAAACAAUUGUUAUGGUGUUUAGAAAUAUAGUUCUUCAUCUAGUUGUUCUUAAAGGUAAGUUUAGGAUUGAUCACCUUUUAAACUUAGAUCUUAGGAUUAAUUGAGAUCAAGCCACUGUUUGACUCAAUACCUGAAAUUAGCUAGUAUGAUCUAACUGACUAGAUACAGACGAGAGUUGGUCUAGUGAGUUAGAGAAUAUAAAUCAAACAUGUCCGUAAAGCUUUCUGGAAGAAGUAUCGAUCGACGCAGCGAUAUUCAAAAUAUCGAUCAAUAUUCAUAACGAAUUAUCGAUCGACACUUUCUCGUAAUUAACAUACGAGAGUUGAAAUCCGAGAUCCAGAUUAGACAAUCAAAUAGAUUAUAUCUUAGUUUGAAUUCAAGAACAAUUAAUAUCAAUAAGCCCUAAAGACCCAACUUAAGUAUUACUUAUCAUACCUGAAUCUAGCUAUUCUCCCAACUGUUAACAACCUCAAAUCAAAUCAAUCGAGCAAUUAUUUUGCUCACCAAUUCAUUUACUGCUUUAAAACCUAUAAAUCAUUUAAUCUAGCCUUAAUUCGAAUAUUAUAAAUCUAUUGUGUAAUCCUAGAGUUUAUGUGGAUUCGAUCCCUAAGUACUACAUCUGAACCUCUUAUUUGAGAGAGUAAUUCACUAAUUAGAAUAAUUUGAGUGAUAUCAGUUUUUCAUAUGUGAUUUAUUAGACUGGAUGUAUUUGAUGGUACGAAAGGCUAAUUUGUGCGUUCAGGUCAAGCAUUGAGGCUGUUUCAAUACUAGAGGUAUAAUCUAUAAACAUUUCUCUAUUGUAUAUCCAAGAACAAGGAGGAAUAAUAUAGUCAUCUAUAUUUUUACCUUUAAUGUGUGUUACCAGGAAAUGUCUUGACCAAGCAACUUUAGAUACAAAAGCGGAGAAUACAUGUGCCUCAACUGUUCUGGAGUUUCUUCAUCAGAAUGGUAUAUUGAAUCAGUGUCUACAUCAGCGUUAUAGGAGGCAUGACUGAGCAAUUAAGACAAGUAUUCUCUGCGGUACUUUACACUUCAUUUCUCCACUAAACAUAAACAGAACAAAUCCACUGAGUCAAAAUGUAUGUAGCUUACUUUGUCUGUAUAUGAUCCUUAGGUGUGUAAGCCACACCUUCCUAAUGAAUAUAGAUUGAACAGA